AAUAUUGCGCAAUGGGGGAAACCCUGACGCAGCGACGCCGCGUGAAGGAAGAAGGCCUUCGGGUUGUAAACUUCUUUGAUUAGGGACGAAAAAAUGACGGUACCUAAGGAACAAGCCACGGCUAACUACGUGCCAGCAGCCUCGGUAAUACGUAGGUGGCGAGCGUUGUCCGGAAUUACUGGGUGUAAAGGGCGCGUAGGCGGGGGAGCAAGUCAGAUGUGAAAUACCGGGGCUCAACCUCGGGGCUGCAUCUGAAACUGUUCUUCUUGAGUGCCGGAGAGGAAAGCGGAAUUCCCAGUGUAGCGGUGAAAUGCGUAGAGAUCGGGAGGAACACCAGUGGCGAAGGCGGCUUUCUGGACGGUAACUGACGCUGAGGCGCGAAAGCGUGGGGAGCAAACAGG
rnacentral:rRNA from 1 species